rnacentral:lncRNA from 1 species
UCAACAUAGAAUAUUUAAAAAUCGUCCUCAAUAUGAAGCAAAUUGUUUUUUUUAAGAAAACCCUCUCCCCUUCUUUAGAGAGAGGAGGGAAAUAUACCCGUGAGAGGAAUUCGGAGCGGAGAUUGGUUGGUACAUUCAAUGAACCUUUGAGUGAGAGAGAGAAGAAAAGAGGGAGAAAUAUAACAUUAAGUGUUUAUAAUAAAAUGAAAAAUUUCCUACCCUGAGGGAAAGAGAUUGUUGCCCAAAUCUUCCCGUGAUUCAUACUCCGUUCGAUCCAAUGAAAUCAUCAUUUUUCUAUUGCAAAUCCAAGUCAUAUUGUUUCUACCCCCAUGCUUGACAGUGAAAAUGGUGUUCUAAGGUUCAACUCAGCAUUUUUUUCCUCAAAACACUUUUUUUUUUUUUGUAAAUAUAAUACAUAUGUCUUAGUUUUAAAAUAAAGAUAACAUUAAGUUUAUAAACCGUUUUAUUCUUUAUCAAUGGACAAACAUUUAAAAUCGGAAAGAAAUCCAAUACUUCUUUUAUCUACUGUAUAUUAAAGGACUGUUUGAUCCCACUUAAUA